rnacentral:rRNA from 1 species
UUAACGGCCGCGAUUAUACGUGCAAAGGUAGCAUAAUCAAUUGUCCUUUAAUUGUGGACUAGAAUGAAUGGAUAAAUAAAAAUUAAUCUAUAAAAGCUUUAACAAUAAAAAUUUACCUUUAGAUGAAAAGGUCUAAAUAUAAAUAAAAGACCAGAAGACCCUACAGAGCUUUUUCUUAAACCAAUAAAUUAUUGAUCAUAAGAUUUGGUUGGGGCAACCAAGGAAUAUCUAUCCUUAAACUAAACCGAUAAAUAAAUUAAUCCUAUAUUAAUCAUAUUUAAGCUACCUUAGGGAUAACAGGCUAAUCUUAUUUUAUAGUCCACAUACACAAUAAGGUUUGGCACCUCGAUGUUGGCUUGAGAUCACUUU